rnacentral:misc_RNA from 1 species
GACUACUGGCAGGAUCAACCAGGUAGCAUUCAUCUUUAGACCUCGAUGCAUCUCGCAAGGACGAGCGCGGAGCGGAGAGGCUCCGUGAGCUCCCCAAGGAAAGCACGAGGGUCAACCGAGCGGAAGCAAAGCUUCGACAAGUCGAGAUCGCAACGACCAGCAAAGGACCGAGCGACAACAAGGGAUAUCUCCGCACCCGAGAGCACGCGGAACGCAUCGACGCACCGACACGAGCGGGAACGCCCUAGAGACGAACGACCGCCCGUACGGAGGGCGCCGAUGCCCGCACGAUGUCACCCGACGCACAAGAGGCGGGGGAGAAACAAGGAAACCACAACGAGAGCAUGUACCGCUAAUCCGGUAUCCAGCGCAGGAACCCACCCGUCGACCGCAACCCACCCAGGGGGCGCACGAGGAAAUGAAACGGAUAGACCAAAGCAGUUCGAUGCCCGAAGCACGGAGCCUGCGGUGGGAACGUAUCCAGAUUGCCACUCACGCGUCGUCCCAACGCCGCCCGAUGGAACGCGUCCCGACGACCCGACGCCCCCGCCCGAAGGAGGAGGAACCGGACGAACGAAGACGCGGCACGAAGAAGCCUGCUAGA